rnacentral:rRNA from 1 species
AUGUUGGCGUUUAGAGACACUCUGGAGGUGUGCGAGUUGGUGGAUUUGGGCUUCUCCGGAGUACCGUUUACUUAUGAUAACAAACGCAGCGGCAACGGAAACGUGAGGGUCAGGUUGGAUCGGGCUGUAGCAUGUAACGCAUGGAGAAACCUGUUUCCCUAUGCUUUGGUUAAACAUGUUCCAUCACCAUGUUCUGAUCAUGUGGUUUUGGUGCUUAAAGGAGAGGAGGAACAAAGACCACUGGGUGGGGGCGUUCGUCGGUACGAACUUUUUUGGGAGAGGGACCCGGUGUUGCCAGAAGUGGUCAAAACCGCUUGGGACUUAGUUGGCUCGGUUGAUAGCAUGGCUGACCUACAGCAAGCACUCUCGAAAACUAUGUCAGCAUUAAGAUCGUGGAGU